UGGCAAGGAAAGGAAUUAAACCCCUCUAAGCAGGACUACAGCCUGCCGCCUAAAACACUCGGCCACCCUACC
rnacentral:tRNA from 1 species